AUUGAACGCUGGCGGCAGGCUUAACACAUGCAAGUCGAGCGGGGAAAAGUAGCUUGCUACUGGACCUAGCGGCGGACGGGUGAGUAAUGCUUAGGAAUCUGCCUAUUAGUGGGGGACAACAUCUCGAAAGGGAUGCUAAUACCGCAUACGUCCUACGGGAGAAAGCAGGGGACCUUCGGGCCUUGCGCUAAUAGAUGAGCCUAAGUCGGAUUAGCUAGUUGGUGGGGUAAAGGCCUACCAAGGCGACGAUCUGUAGCGGGUCUGAGAGGAUGAUCCGCCACACUGGGACUGAGACACGGCCCAGACUCCUACGGGAGGCAGCAGUGGGGAAUAUUGGACAAUGGGGGGAACCCUGAUCCAGCCAUGCCGCGUGUGUGAAGAAGGCCUUUUGGUUGUAAAGCACUUUCAGUAAGGAGGAAGAGUUGUGUGUUAAUAGUACACAGCUUUGACGUUACUUACAGAAGAAGCACCGGCUAACUCUGUGCCAGCAGCCGCGGUAAGAC
rnacentral:rRNA from 1 species